rnacentral:rRNA from 1 species
AUUAUUGGGCGUAAGAGCUCGUAGGCGGUCUGUCGCGUCUGCUGUGAAAUCCCGAGGCUCAACCUCGGGCUUGCAGUGGGUACGGGCAGACUAGAGUGCGGUAGGGGAGAUUGGAAUUCCUGGUGUAGCGGUGGAAUGCGCAGAUAUCAGGAGGAACACCGAUGGCGAAGGCAGAUCUCUGGGCCGUAACUGACGCUGAGGAGCGAAAGGGUGGGGAGCAAACAGGCUUAGAUACCCUGGUAGUCCACCCCGUAAACGUUGGGAACUAGUUGUGGGGUCCUUUCCACGGAUUCCGUGACGCAGCUAACGCAUUAAGUUCCCCGCCUGGGGAGUACGGCCGCAAGGCUAAAACUCAAAGGAAUUGACGGGGACCCGCACAAGCGGCGGAGCAUGCGGAUUAAUUCGAUGCAACGCGAAGAACCUUACCAAGGCUUGACAUACACGAGAACGGGCCAGAAAUGGUCAACUCUUUGGACACUCGUGAACAGGUGGUGCAUGGUUGUCGUCAGCUCGUGUCGUGAGAUGUUGGGUUAAGUCCCGCAACGAGCGCAACCCUCGUUCUAUGUUGCCAGCACGUAAUGGUGGGAACUCAUGGGAUACUGCCGGGGUCAACUCGGAGGAAGGUGGGGAUGACGUCAAAUCAUCAUGCCCCUUAUGUCUUGGGCUUCACGCAUGCUACAAUGGCCGGUACAAUGGGCUGCGAUACCGUAAGGUGGAGCGAAUCCCAAAAAGCCGGUCCCAGUUCGGAUUGAGGUCUGCAACUCGACCUCAUGAAGUCGGAGUCGCUAGUAAUCGCAGAUCAGCAACGCUGCGGUGAAUACGUUCCCGGGUCUUGUACACACCGCCCGUCAAGUCAUGAAAGUCGGUAACACCUGAAGCCGGUGGCCUAACCCCUUGUGGGAGGGAGCUGUCGAAGGUGGGAUCGGUAAUUAGGACUAAGUCGUAACAAGGUAGCCGUACCGGAGGUGCGGCUGGAACACUCU